AAGGCGAUGAUGAAACAAUAACAAUGUUAAUUAAGAUAGUGCCUUGGCGAGAUAACUUUUGUUGCAGCCAUGAAUACCCUCAUGCUUUUCCUAAUACUUUUUUGAGCCCACUUUGUAAACUGUAAUUGAAACCUAAAGCGCUUUGGCUAUGCAUUUUUUGGCAAUGAUGACAAAAAUUUUAAAACAGCAACAAAGGGUGGUGUUGCUAUGUCCAAAUUGAAUAUCCACGGACUGAAAAGAAAGAAGUGAGAAACUAAUUGCCGCGCCUGUGCCAUUUUGGCUGAUUUUUUCAUUUGGGCCCUUUGGAUUUGGAGCCUUGUGCUUCAUGGCGAUACUGGUUUGGGUUUAGUAUUCUUGUAGGGUAUUAUCAGCACUCAUUUAGUCCGCUUUGGCUAACUUAGUGUGUACACUAAACAGUAACUUUUGAAUUUGUCCUGUGCGCUGGACUUACUCGAAUCACCACUUGAAAAUGAAUAUCAGAACAAAUGUAGAUUUCCAGUUGGAAAUUCUCUGCAGGGCAAUUCAACUGUGGGCUUUAUGGUUGGAAACUUCAGGUAGUUGUUUUUAUCUUUUAGGAUUCACUUCCUUUCAAUGAAGUUUCCUUUCCACUUAUCAAAGAGAAGUAAAAUUCAUUUAGGGGAAGGGGUCGCUGCAAGCGAAGUGGGUUUAGAAAGAACCUAAAAAAACCUGAAACUAACCGUCCUUUUGGGCUGCCAGAUAUGAUGGGGGGCAAACCAGAGGGAGGGGCUGCAGCAUUCCUGGUAACAAGGGGAGAGCAAAUUAGGAUGGUCCCAUGGGAACCAUUGUCUCAAUCACGCAUAAACAUGACAUGCUUUCUCAAUUGCUUUUCCGUUUUUAGUAUUAGGUGUCUAGUCCAACUUAUGCACACAUAGACUAAUCUUGAAAAACCAAUCUCACCGUUCAUUAUCAAGUGCUCCAUUUAAAGUCAGAGAAAAAGCUUUGUAUAGACUGAUCCGAAAAAAGUUGAUAGCUCUAAGAGGGUUUCGAAACUGAAAGCUUGGGAGUUGAUUUGCUUUGUAAGUGCCUACAAGCUAGGAAUCGGGCAAAUUUAGAUCACUAUCAGUUAAAAAGUAUGGUGGUUAUGGUUUUGCAAUCUUGGUUCCUUUUUCCUAUAUCAUUUUUCCUAGGGAAAACAAAUCAUAAUACGAUAUGCCUAGAUAGUGGAUUAUGAGAAUAUACUCCUAUAUUAAAGGACACUUCAAGAUACAAGUGCUAAUCAUAAUACUAGAUGGUGUAUACAAGUGCCUGCAAUUGCUAUAAAGCAUUUCAAACAUGUUAGGGAGUUUGUUCUUGUUUAAAUGCCUAACAUGAAUUACCGGGCAUCUCCAUUACAAACAGUUAACACACGUUUGAUAUGCUGACAUCCAUACUCUUAUGCAAAUACAGAGCAUCCAACAUGAGUAUUUGUACAUUUAGAAGAUUCCAUUUCAUAAAGACCAUACCUACUUCAUGCACAGGUGGGAAACUUUUUCCUGUUCUUGGAUCUUGUUUUAUACACUGGGAUAUUUCGCGAGGUUAAAAAAGAAACAAGUGUGUAUUUACUAUUUAGAAUCUUUGGGCAAUCUGACUAAAUGAAAUACUCUAUCCUCUUAAGCGGUGUAACACAAGACACUCAGAAGCGCAUGUGCGCAGGUACACACAGAGAUGAAAUGAAUGAACUUACUAAAACAAGCACAGCUUGAGUCCAAUAACAGAGAACACAUCCAGCGGCUUAAGUUAAGGUGGGUAGAAACUACUCUGUCUAUGAAGCGUAUGUACAAAAGACAUACAUAGCAGCAUAUAAUUGUGAAGCUAAAUCUUUCACUUUCUCUUUGUUCAUCCCCUGGUCCAUCCGCUAAAUCCCUUUUUUUCUUUUCUUGAUCCAAACUUUUCUUGCACUAAAGUAAUUUUUUCAGGAAAAAACAACUCCAAGAAAGUAGCUGCUGCAAUUGGGGUUAGCUACCGUUUGCCUCUCUCAUUCUCAUGCACAAUUGUGUUCGUACAUAUAUUGGAGGAGAAAUAGAUCAAAAAAGCAUACAGUUCUUAACAUUACUGGUUAGUAACUUACAAUUACCAUUCUAUUAGUGCUUCGAUUUGUAUUUUGUUUGGUUAACUUUGUGUUUUGGGUUUUGUUUUGUGCUUUAGAAUAAAACCUAUGAAAAUGCUGAAAGCCUCGUCAUUGGAGUAAAGUUUUCAUCUAUGUAAGGAAAUGGAGCAGUACUUAAAAAUUCAGAAACAUUUUCCCUUUUCAAGUUGUCUAUUUCAGCAAAAUCUUCCCAUUAUGAGUUUUCGAAAAAGUUCGUUUAACCUUUUAUAGAAUUUUUCGAAAAGAGAACUAAAAAAAAAAGAACUGGUCUCUUGUUUCUUUUUCUUUUCCCUUUCAUAAGUAUGUAUAUUGUGUAUAUCAAUGGUUUACAAGAUCCUUAACAGGGGCGAGCACCUAUAUACAUAUACACAGCAUUCUCAGAAGUUAGAGCUUCAAGUUUCUACACACUAUUUUAGCUCUAAGAACAUACUUGAUGCCAUGGGUUUUGGAAAUGUCUACAGGCGAAAGUUGGCAGAUGAGACAAUAGUGGCCAUAUAACGCUUCAAGGAUGUAAUAGGAACAACUGGGGAAUCACAAUUUUGGACUGAAUUGGAGAUGAUUAGCUUGUUAUCCAUAUGACUAUGUUGCACUUAAUGGGAUACUGUAUCAUCCAGAAAGAGAGGCUUCUGGUGUAUCCCUUGAUGUGUAAGAGCAGUGUGAUCACAAGGCUUAGACAUUAGUACCUCUCUUACUUCCUCAGAAAUACUAUCACUCUUUGGCUUUUAUGGAGUAAACCGAAAACGUGACGUAAAUGAUAAGAAGUUAGUGAAGUAACAAAAUUAAUUUUUGACUUCUCUGUCAUUUUCGUCACCUAUGCAAAUUCUUCAUCCAAACAUCAAACAAUGAUCUAUUUUUUUUCCAACAAUCACAAAUUCAAGGUCCUGAGCUUGAGUCCUCUUAUAUUCUCAUUUCAGUACUUGCUGAAUUAUGAAGUGAGGUACUUUAUUAGUUUUUAGCUUGAUAUAAACCACUAUGAGCUAUGGCUAGGUUAUGGGUAAUCAUUUAUUUUUAUUCCUACCUGAACUUAAAUGUAUAAACAUCUGGUACUUAUCUUAAUAUGUUCUUUACAGGGAUAGAGCUGCAUGUAUGUGGUUGGACGUCUCAUACAAUGUUUCACCAUUGCUCCUUCAAUCACAUGAAGCUUUGCAUUUUCCUUCUGCUCACAAUAACCUGAGGGAGUAAGACCCCCAACCACAUAACCACUUGCAAUGCUACUCACUCCUUUCCUCCUUUGCCUGAUAUCCACCUGCAGCCAAACCAUGCCUUGUGGAUGACUUUUAACGGAUGACAAUCAUCCUCAUCCUCAAUUUCUUGGACAACUGUGGUUUUGAAGCUCUGUUCGGUUAUCUAACUUGUCCCAUAUAAUAUGUGUAAAUGCGAGAGUUGUGCCUAUUUAAGCUUUUUUGUGCUAUAUUUUUACCUUGGGUGUUUAAACCUUUUCCUUUGAACAUCAUGCACCAAUUUGACCACAAGUGUAUUACAAGUUUCUUAACUUGAAUCGCUCCCAUCUGUCGUUGUUUGGUUCAAUUUUGC